GCCCCUAUAGCUCAGUUGGUAGAGCAACUGAUUUGUAAUCAGUAGGUCGGGAGUUCGAGUCUCUCUGGGGGCGCCA
rnacentral:tRNA from 1 species